rnacentral:rRNA from 1 species
CAAUAGCGUAUAUUAAAGUUGUUGCAGUUAAAAAGCUCGUAGUUGGACCUUGGACCUGGACAGGCGGUCCGCCUCACGGCGAGUACUGUCUUGCUGGGUCUUUCCUCUUGGUGAUCUGUUGUUUCGGCAGCAGGGAACCAGGACCUUUACUUUGAAAAAAUUAGAGUGUUCAAAGCAGGCUCGACGCCGGAAUAUAUUAGCAUGGAAUAAUAAGAUAGGACGUGCGGUUCUAUUUUGUUGGUUUUUGGAAUCGCCGUAAUGAUUAAUAGGGACAGUCGGGGGCAUUAGUACUCACAUGCUAGAGGUGAAAUUCUUGGAUUUUGUGAAGACUAACUUCUGCGAAAGCAUUUGCCAAGGAUGUUUUCAUUAA